AGCAGAGUGGCGCAGUGAGAGCGCACUGGACCGAUAACUCAGAGGUCCGUGGAUCGAAACUACGCUCUGCUA